CAAAACCACAAAUGCCCAGUUAGAACAGUAUAAAAGGAGCUGAAGACUCCAAGCAAGUCGUCGAUCCGUCCACCGACCAGUCGACCAGUCGAUCUGCUGAUCUGACUACUGACCGAGACAUCUGCACACCUGAUCCCGCUGGAAGGAGCAUCGCCACCGACCAGACGAGACCAGAGGACGAAGCAAGCGGAGAGACGGAUAGCCUAGCGCCGACUCGACGCCCUUCGUCUACGGAUCAGACCCUCUGACCCCACGGGAGGAAACGUCGUGCUCCCACAAGGACUUGUGCAGUACAGAUACAGGGAUGUGGUAAUUAGCAGACUUAAUAUUGUGUGAUAACUGUAUUGACGUGAAGUGUGUUGAAGUGAAUCAUAAUAAUAGAGGAUAAGUGUGUGAACUGCCAUCCGAGUCCGAGUCCUCUUUACCCACGGUACCUGCUCGCGACACCUUCACCCUGGGAAUUCUGGGAAGAUGCCAGAGUGGUAAGCAGCAGAGAAAGAGCCACUCCGAGAUUUGGUGUCCUAACACUAGAAUACAGCAGCUUGAGGAGGAAAAGAAGGAGCGAAGUGGGUCCCCGGGAACCAGGAAGGAUCUGAGGUGAGAAUUGAAGUCUACAGGAAGAGUGAAGAGAGAGACUUUAAGGAAGAGGAGGGAGGUCCUAGCAGUGCUUUCUCCCAGAGCCCAGCGAGGGAAUGGGUGGGCCAAACCUGCAGAGGCACAGUGACUGCUGGCAACCCCAGAGCCCUACACGGAAAAAACGCACCAGUGGAACAGAGCAGUGGAUGCACCAGACUGCAGCAGCUGUGUGGGACCAGGUAACAGAAGAGCCAGAAGGUGUGGGGACGACGGAAUUGGGCCUUGCAGGCACUGGAUGAAGGCGGGGCUCCAAGCCACUCCCAGGACCUCACUGUGCCGUGGGCAGGAACGGGAACACAGCCGAGGAGCUUCAUGCUGCUGAUUGUUAAGGUUUUUUGUUAUAUCAGGGGUCUCCAAUCCCAGGGCCACGGACUGGUACUGGUCUGUGGCCCAUUAGGAGCUGGGUCACACAGUAGGAGGUAAGGAACAACUGCUUUAUACCUCCCAUAGCAUCUAACAUAUUGAUACGUACAGUACUUGAUUUUUUUUUUUCUGCCUCCCUUACUAGAAAGUCAACUCCAGGAACCAGAAAUUCUGUCUUGUUUACUGUUAUGUCCUCAGGGCCUUAAACUGUACCUGAAAGGUAGUAAGUAGGUGCUUUGUAAAUGUGCUAAAUGAAUGAAAACAAGCAUGACCAGAAAAACAUGGAGGGGUUUCUAUAAAGACCUAAAGACCUUGUACAGACUUUGGAGUUAGUACAGGUAAUGGUAGCUGCCUGAAGCCUUAGAAAUAUUUGGCUGGUGCUUAUCAUAAGCACUACUCUUCCUGGUACUGGAGAGGAACACAACUUUUGCAAAAGUCGAUUUCUCUUAUAAAGAUAAAUUUCUUUUACAGAGAACUUGUACAGUUUUUAGAGCUUUUCCCAGUUUUCUGGUUCUCAAUGGCCUUUAGUUCAAGUCAUUUUUCAGAGUGGCAUGUUCUGGUACCCUUCAGGGCUAUAACCUUUUCAGAUUUCAGUCCUCAAUCAAUGUCUAUGAAUGUUUGGUCUCAUUUAGAAAACAACAAAAGCCUCACAACAGUAAAAUUUAUUUUUCCUCUGGAAAUACAUUGUCCUUCUGUGUUUUUUUAUUCUAGGAUCAACCGGGCAGAUGGGCCUUUUACACUCUGAGAGCUUGCCCUCAGUCUUGCUGUUGUACCCCACAAUAAUUCAUUCAAUUAAUUGGUCUCCAAGAGUUUUUAUGCCCCCAUCCAUAUGGACAGAGUGCUUUAAAGCCCACCACGGCACCCCUAAAAUAUCCAUCCUGUUUUCACUUUUCUUUUUAUACCUGAGGAGGCUGGGGAAGCACAGCAACACUUCCCAGUGAGCUAGAGAAGGGCCAUAGCUACUGGGGCCAGAGCCAAUGUCUCCGUGGAGUAAGAUGCUGACUUCUCACUAAAAAAGAUCACUGC
rnacentral:lncRNA from 1 species